AGCAGCAGCAACAGAAGAAGCAGCCUAUUGUCAAAUUAUGCAAAUGCUUCUUGUGCCGUUAAUUACAACAACUACAACAAUAACAAACAGCAACAAAAACAACCGCAGCAACACCACCUAGAGGGGCGUCAAAAUCUGAGAAAAAGAUUUCCUCAAGUCUUUUAUAUUUUGUUUCUAAUUCUGUAUGUGUUGUUGUUUUUGUUUCGUUCUCUGUGUCUUAUACGAAUAAAUCCGUUUAAUCCGUUUAUACCAUGCUCGGUAUUAUGCGUGAGUGAGUGGCCAAGACUCUUGGAUGCCUAUUUAAGCCCACAUCGUGUCAACCUUGCCAGCUCUUUGCGUCAUUGCCAGCAACUGUCAGCGACUUGGGCAGCUUGUAUCUUCUUUUCAUGCACACUGGUCUUUCAAAUAUUCUCUACUCUUCAUCCUCGACUGCCUUGUGAUAUUAAAUAUUAUUUUAUACGCAACGUGACAUUUGCCACCUGUUCUGCAAGUUUGCUGAAAAGCGUUUAAAAAAUAAUUUCAACAUUCUAUGCAAACGAGACUUUGACGAGGCAGUGGUGGGAGAAGAAGAAACGGACGCUGAAGCAACGGGCGCCAAUUUGUUCAUCAAGAGACACAACAAGUGAAUGGCUUAAGGCAAGCUUUUUCAAGCCUUCGGCACCGACUACGUGCAAAGACAAAAAUUAACGUUAUAGCACCAGCAACAGCAACAACAAAAACUAUAAUAGGCUGACAUAGAAGGAAGGAAACCUGACAAUCAGAGCUCAACGCAGCCAGCGGUUUCACAACUACACCCAAACGGCUUCAUUACCCGAGAAUCGAUUAGGAAGAUAAAUUAAAGUGGAGCACGGGGAGCAGCAAUCAUUUAUAAAGCAGCGAAUAUUUCCUUAGACGACAUUUUAGGUUCAUCACAAGACGCGCACAAAAGUCAAAGUGCAAAAGCACACGGAGCAGACAGCAGCCCCCACACAAGAGUAACAACAGCAACAACUAAUAAGAGGACUUUAUUUUUAUUGAAAUUAUGAUUAAUGACAGAAAUAUUGCACGCGCACGAGCAGAAAGAGGAAGGGAAAUCAACGCGUGUUAGACAUUGUAAGGAAUUAAGCGACGCUGCUGAUGCUAAUGAUGACGAUAAAGAUGAAUUCGCUAUGGCGCGCCAUUCGCCGGUGUUGAUGAACAACAACAACAACAACAACAGAAACAGCAACAGCAAUGAGCAGAGAACGCGAGAGCAUGUCGUAAUGGAGAAGCCACCAACAAUGUAUAUGAUGAUGAUGAUGAUGUUGACGAUGCAGAUAAUGAUGAUGAUGAAAAGCAGGUCAGCAGUCAGUGCUAU